GACGAACGCUGGCGGCGUGCUUAACACAUGCAAGUCGAACGGAAAGGCCCUGCUUUUGUGGGGUGCUCGAGUGGCGAACGGGUGAGUAACACGUGAGUAACCUGCCCUUGACUUUGGGAUAACUUCAGGAAACUGGGGCUAAUACCGGAUAGGAGCUCCUGCUGCAUGGUGGGGGUUGGAAAGUUUCGGCGGUUGGGGAUGGACUCGCGGCUUAUCAGCUUGUUGGUGGGGUAGUGGCUUACCAAGGCUUUGACGGGUAGCCGGCCUGAGAGGGUGACCGGCCACAUUGGGCCUGGGAUACGGGCCGGAGUGCUACGGGAGGCAGCAGUGGGGAAUAUUGCACAAUGGGCGGAAGCCUGAUGCAGCAACGCCGCGUGCGGGAUGACGGCCGUCGGGUUGUAAACCGCUUUCGCCUGUGACGAAGCGUGAGUGACGGUAAUGGGUAAAAAAGCACCGGCUAACUACGUG
rnacentral:rRNA from 1 species